GACGAACGCUGGCGGCGUGCCUAAUACAUGCAAGUCGAACGAGAGCGACCGGUGCUUGCACUGGUCAAUCUAGUGGCGAACGGGUGAGUAACACGUGGGUAACCUGCCCAUCAGAGGGGGAUAACAUCCGGAAACGGAUGCUAAAACCGCAUAGGUCUUCGAGCCGCAUGGCUUGAAGAGGAAAAGAGGCGCAAGCUUCUGCUGAUGGAUGGACCCGCGGUGCAUUAGCUAGUUGGUGAGGUAACGGCUCACCAAGGCCGUGAUGCAUAGCCGACCUGAGAGGGUGAUCGGCCACAUUGGGACUGAGACACGGCCCAAACUCCUACGGGAGGCAGCAGUAGGGAAUCUUCCGCAAUGGACGCAAGUCUGACGGAGCAACGCCGCGUGAGUGAAGAAGGUUUUCGGACCGUAAAACUCUGUUGUUAGAGAAGAACAAGUGCUAGAGUAACUGUUAGCGCCUUGACGGUAUCUAACCAGAAAGCCACGGCUAACCACGUG
rnacentral:rRNA from 1 species